rnacentral:rRNA from 1 species
GAUGAACGCUGGCGGCGUGCCUAAUACAUGCAAGUCGAGCGAACGGACGAGAAGCUUGCUUUUCUGAUGUUAGCGGCGGACGGGUGAGUAACAUGUGGAUAACCUACCUAUAAGACUGGGAUAAUUUCGGGAAACCGGAGCUAUUACGGGAUAAUACUUUGAAUCGCAUGGUUCAUACGUGAAAGACGGUCUUGCUGUCACUUAUAGAUGGAUCCGCGCUGCAUUAGCUAGUUGGUAAGGUAACGGCCUACCAAGUCAACGAUGCAUAGCCGACCUGAGAGGGUGAUCGGCCACACUGGAACUGAGACACGGUCCAGACUCCUACGGGAGGCAGCAGUAGGGAAUCUUCCGCAAUGGGCGAAAGCCUGACGGAGCAACGCCGCGUGAGUGAUGAAGGUCUUCGGAUCGUAAAACGCUGUUAUUAGGGAAGAACAGAUGUGUAAGUAACUGUACACAUCUUGACGGUACCGUAUCAGAAAGCCACGGCUAACUACGUG